rnacentral:rRNA from 1 species
UACAGAGGGGGCAAGCGUUGUUCGGAAUUACUGGGCGUAAAGGGCGCGUAGGCGGCCGCCUAAGUCAGACGUGAAAUCCCUCGGCUCAACCGGGGAACUGCGUCUGAUACUGGGUGGCUUGAAUCCGGGAGAGGGAUGCGGAAUUCCAGGUGUAGCGGUGAAAUGCGUAGAUAUCGGGAGGAACACCAGUGGCGAAGGCGACUACCUGGCCCAUUCUUGACGCUGAGGCGCGAAAGCUAGGGGAGCGAACGGG